CCUACGGGAGGCAGCAGUAGGGAAUAUUGCUCAAUGGGGGAAACCCUGAAGCAGCAACGCCGCGUGGAGGAUGAAGGUUUUCGGAUUGUAAACUCCUUUUGUUAGAGAAGAUAAUGACGGUAUCUAACGAAUAAGCACCGGCUAACUCCGUGCCAGCAGCCGCGGUAAUACGGAGGGUGCAAGCGUUACUCGGAAUCACUGGGCGUAAAGAGCGCGUAGGCGGGAUAGCAAGUCAGAUGUGAAAUCCUAUGGGUUAAACAUAGAACUGCAUUUGAUACGGUUAUGCUAGAGUAUGGGAGAGGAAGGUGGAAUUCUUGGUGGAGGGGUAAAAUCCGUAGAGAUCAAGAGGAAUACUCAUUGCGAAGGCGACCUGCUAGAACAUAACUGACGCUGAUGCGCGAAAGCGUGGGGAGCAAACAGGAUUAGAUACCCGAGUAGUC
rnacentral:rRNA from 1 species